GUGGGAAUACACCACGUCGGCUGCCAGGAUGUAAUCGAAACAAUGUGUGGCACGUGGGAAACGCUGCUCCACCUCCUGACCCCAGAAGAGCUCUGUGACCUGGAAACAGAGCAGAAACAGGGUUGAUUUAUAUGGCUGGACACGAUGGAGACGAGCCCGGUUCCUGCACCGAGUUCAAUCACAUUUUUAUCCAUCAUGUUGUGUUCAUCACGAUUGGUCUCCAAGAAAUGGCACAACACCAUCGCCUGUUGUUGGGAACACAUGUUCUUAGUUCACUGGCAGGGCUCAAAGUAAAUGACAGCUACAGCAGCUGAAUAUUUGGGAUACAUUCGGGCGUACCGAGGGCCAGAGAACUGCUCCAUAGAGGUCUGUGGACUCUUUGAUACGGAUCUCCAGAUCAGAGAAGAUGUAUCCCUCCCAGGGUUCAGGGCCCAGGAUGGAGGGGUGGAAACUCCGAGACAUUAUGGCUUUGGCUAGCUCUGCAUCCACAGCAGCAUCUGAUCAGGCACCCACGGGAGAGAGGUAAGAAACAUGUUUACACAGAGUUCACAACUUGUGACCCUGUGAGUGGAAGCAGAAUCUAAAAACAGACAUUUUGACGUCAUAGAGAUACACAUGUGUAAUAAAUCACACUGGCAUCAUUUGUAAUUAAAUGGUGGUGAGUUAUUAGUUCCACCUGUGCUUUUCCUGCUGCAAGAAGUCUACAUGAAAGAUUGAAGUGUUUGCAGUUUAUUCCCAUCUAUUGAGCACCACUCUUCGUUGCCACCUCUGUUUCCCUGUCUGGUAUGUAACAUUUUUCAGAUUUCUUGCCAGGUAUUAAAGUGGUACUGAUCCAACACCUCAA